UGCGGCGGCGGCGUCUCCUCCAUGCGGGGGCGGCGCGCGGAUCUAACCUAAGUUGGGGAUCCCGGAAUGCGCGUGGAGGAGGCGCGCGGAUUUGGGGAUCUGUGGGAGACGAGGAGGACGGAGGGGAGAUUAGAUUCAGCUAUCGUCGAUGGAGCGGCGGAGGAGAAAUUUUUACUGCUCAGUGAGCGUAGAUUUGGUUUUUCUUUCUUUUUUUCCUUAUUAUUUUCUCUUUUCGUCGAUGUCAUUGCGGCUUGAUCUCGGCCUGCUAUUGGUCGAGGGGAGCGCGAGCGCGAGCGUGCGUUCGGUGCUCUUGUGGGAGUGGAAUCGCGGCGACUCGGAUUGCGGGAUUCGGCCAUAUGUCUUCUCCGUUCGUUCAUGUGCUGAAGAAGGACCGGUCAACUUGGGGUCAACGGCGAUA
rnacentral:lncRNA from 1 species